AACGAACGCUGGCGGCAGGCUUAACACAUGCAAGUCGAACGCCCCGCAAGGGGAGUGGCAGACGGGUGAGUAACGCGUGGGAACAUGCCCAAAGGUACGGAACAACUCCGGGAAACUGGAGCUAAUACCGUAUGUGACCGAGAGGUGAAAGAUUUAUCGCCUUUGGAUUGGCCCGCGGUGGAUUAGCUAGUUGGUGGGGUAAAGGCCUACCAAGGCGACGAUCCAUAGCUGGUCUGAGAGGAUGAUCAGCCACACUGGGACUGAGACACGGCCCAGACUCCUACGGGAGGCAGCAGUGGGGAAUAUUGGACAAUGGGCGCAAGCCUGAUCCAGCCAUGCCGCGUGAGUGAUGAAGGCCUUAGGGUUGUAAAGCUCUUUCGCCAGGGACGAUAAUGACGGUACCUGGAUAAGAAGCCCCGGCUAACUUCGUGCCAGCCGCCGCCGUAAGAC
rnacentral:rRNA from 1 species